rnacentral:rRNA from 1 species
AUACGGAGGAUCCGAGCGUUAUCCGGAUUUAUUGGGUUUAAAGGGUGCGCAGGCGGCCAUUUAAGUCAGCGGUUAAAUCGUGGGGCUCAACCCCAUUCUGCCGUUGAUACUGGGUGGCUUGAUUGCGGUCGAGGUUGGCGGAAUUCGUUGUGAAGCGGUGAAAUGCAUAGAUAUGACGAAGAACACCGAUUGCGUAGGCAGCUGACCAGACCGCAAAUGACGCUCAUGCACGAAAGUGCGGAGAUCGAACAGGAUUAGAUACCCUGGUAGUCCGCACAGUAAACGAUGAAUACUUGUUUUCGGCGAUAGAAUGUCGGAGGCAAAGCGAAAGCGAUAAGUAUUCCACCUGGGGAGUACGCCGUCAACGGUGAAACUCAAAGGAAUUGACGGGG